AGACGGAGGGCGCAAGCGUUGUUCGGAAUUACUGGGCGUAAAGCGCGCGCAGGCGGAUGUGCGAGUCGGUGGUGAAAUCCUGGGGCUCAACCCUGGGGCUGCGGCCGAUACUGCGUGUCUAGGGCCCGGUAGAGGCUGGUGGAAUUCCCGGUGUAGCGGUGGAAUGCGUAGAUAUCGGGAGGAACACCCGUGGCGAAGGCGACCGGCUGGGCCGGGUCCGACGCUGAGGCGCGAAAGCGUGGGGAGCCAACAGGAUUAGAUACCCUGGUAGUCCACGCCGUAAACGAUGGGUGCUAGGUGCUGGGGGGAGCGACCCCUUCGGUGCCGUAGCCAACGCGUUAAGCACCCCGCCUGGGGAGUACGGCCGCAAGGCUGAA
rnacentral:rRNA from 1 species